GAUGAACGCUGGCGGCGUGCCUAAUACAUGCAAGUCGAACGCAUAGCGAAAGGUGCUUGCACCUUUCAAGUGAGUGGCGAACGGGUGAGUAACACGUGGACAACCUGCCUCAAGGCUGGGGAUAACAUUUGGAAACAGAUGCUAAUACCGAAUAAAACUUAGUGUCGCAUGACACAAAGUUAAAAGGCGCUUCGGCGUCACCUAGAGAUGGAUCCGCGGUGCAUUAGUUAGUUGGUGGGGUAAAGGCCUACCAAGACAAUGAUGCAUAGCCGAGUUGAGAGACUGUUCGGCCCCUUUGGGACUGACACCCGCCCCAACCCCCUACGGGGGGCUGCAGUUGGGAAUCUUCCCCAAGGGGCGAAAGCCUGAUGGAGCAACGCCGCGGGGGUGAUGAAGGCUUUCGGGUCGUAAAGCACUUUUGUAUGGGAAGAACAGCUAGAAUAGGAAAUGAUUUUAGUUUGCCGGUACCAAACCAAAAAGGGACGGCUAAAUCCGU
rnacentral:rRNA from 1 species